ensembl:rRNA 5S_rRNA 5S ribosomal RNA
GUCUACGGCCAUACCACCCUGAACGCGCCGAUCUCGUCUGAUCUCGGAAGCUAAGCAGGGUCGGCCGGUUAGUACUUGGAUGGGAGACCGCCUGGGAAUACCGGGUGCUGUAGGCU